rnacentral:rRNA from 1 species
GAGUUUGAUCGUGGCUCAGAUUGAACGCUGGCGGCAUGCCUUACACAUGCAAGUCGAACGGUAACAGGUCUUCGGAUGCUGACGAGUGGCGAACGGGUGAGUAAUACAUCGGAACGUGCCCGAUCGUGGGGGAUAGCGAAGCGGAAAGCUUUGCUAAUACCGCAUACGAUCUACGGAUGAAGCAGGGACCGCAAGGCCUUGCGCGAACGGAGCGGCCGAUGGCAGAUUAGGUAGUUCGGUGGGAUAAAAGCUUUACCAAGCCGACGAUCUGUAGCUGGUCUGAGAGGACGACCAGCCACACUGGGACUGAGACACGGCCCAGACUCCUACGGGA